CCUACGGGAGGCAGCAGUGGGGAAUCUUGCGCAAUGGGCGAAAGCCUGACGCAGCAACGCCGCGUGCGGGAAGAAGGCUUUCGGGCUGUAAACCGCUUUCAGCAGGAACGAAAAUGACGGUACCUGCAGAAGAAGGAGCGGCCAACUAUGUGCCAGCAGCCGCGGUGAUACAUAGGCUUCAAGCGUUGUCCGGAUUUAUUGGGCGUAAAGAGUUCGUAGGCGGUCGAGUAAGUCGGGUGUGAAAAUUCUGGGCUCAACCCAGAGACGCCACCCGAUACUGCUUGACUUGAGUUCGAUAGGGGAGUGGGGAAUUCCUAGUGUAGCGGUGAAAUGCGCAGAUAUUAGGAGGAACACCGGUGGCGAAGGCGCCACUCUGGAUCGAUACUGACGCUGAGGAACGAAAGCAUGGGUAGCAAACAGGAUUAGAUACCCUGGUAGUCCAUGCCGUAAACGGUGGGCACUAGGUGUGGGUUUCUAUUAACGAAAUCCGCGCCGUCGCUAACGCAUUAAGUGCCCCGCCUGGGGAGUACGGUCGCAAGACUAAAACUUAAAGAGUAGUAAGGACGUGUUGAGUAGUUCGACGACGACGACGACGGAGGGAGGAG
rnacentral:rRNA from 1 species